rnacentral:rRNA from 1 species
UACGGAGGGUGCAAGCGUUAUCCGGAUUUACUGGGGUUAAAGGGUGCGUAGGUGGGUAGGUAAGUCAGUGGUGAAAUCUUCAAGCUUAACUUGGAAACUGCCAUUGAUACUAUUUAUCUUGAAUUAUCUGGAGGUAAGCGGAAUAUGUCAUGUAGCGGUGAAAUGCUUAGAUAUGACAUAGAACACCCAUUGCGAAGGCAGCUUACUACGGAUAUAUUUACACUGAGGCACGAAAGCGUGGGGAUCAAACAGG